UCCGAUGUGGUGUAGUGGCUAACAUUGCUGUCUUUCAUAUUAUCGUUCCAGUUGAUUCACAGCAGCCCGGGGUUCGAUUCUCCGCAUCGGAA